GACGAACCGAGCGAACGUUGUUCGGAAUCACUGGGCUUAAAGGGCGCGUAGGCGGGCUGUCAAGUCUGGGGUGAAAUCCCGCGGCUCAACCGCGGAACUGCCUCAGAUACUGACGGCCUCGAGGGAGAUAGGGGCGAGCGGAACUAAUGGUGGAGCGGUGAAAUGCGUUGAUAUCAUUAGGAACUCCGGUGGCGAAGGCGGCUCGCUGGAUCUUUUCUGACGCUGAGGCGCGAAAGCUAGGGGAGCAAACGGG
rnacentral:rRNA from 2 species